AAGGGAUGUGUGAUAAUUAAAUAAUGAAAGGGAUUAAAAACAUUGAAAAAAUAGAAUAGAGAGUUUCAGACCAAACACAACAGCAGCCUGUUUUGGCAGAUUUGGAUCAGCGAAGACAGCCACCAGCUCCUACAGCCAAAGAAAGCUUCCUCAAAAUGUUGCACAGUCCUAAUACACAUCAAAAACCUGCUGUUCUUGGGGACCAGAGCCAGACAAGCACCUCUGAACAUGAGACUUCAAGCUCAUCUGCAGAUACUUUAAUCAUCGAGCGUGAUCCAAUUCCAGAAUAUGGAGAACCAUGUUUCAUUUCGCCUGAGUCAGCAGAAGACAGAUCAUGGAAGCCAUGCGAAGCAUGCAAGACAGAGGUGGAAAAAUUAGUGGAGGAAAAGGCCAAACUGCAUGAUGUGCUGUGUGGUAUAAGUAAGUAUGUUUUGUCUCUCUGUUGCAAUUACUUGUUCUUUUAACACUUCUUUUUUUCUCUCAAAGUUUUUCUAACACACCUAAUAUCUAUUCAGAAGAGUUAAUUAUGUUUUUAUAAAAUACGCCACAACAUUACCAGCAUUCACCAGUCCAGUCGCUCAACCCGUAUGGAACUACUCUGUCUCCAAUUCCACACAAUUCCAGCCUUUCGCAGUAUUCAAAGCAUCACCAGCCUCACACAGCACUACCCACACUUUCAGACCAAACACAACAGCAGCCUGUUUUGGCAGAUUUGGAUCAGCGAAGACAGCCACCAGCUCCUACAGCCAAAGAAAGCUUCCUCAAAAUGUUGCACAGUCCUAAUACACAUCAAAAACCUGCUGUUCUUGGGGACCAGAGCCAGACAAGCACCUCUGAACAUGAGACUUUAAGCUCAUCUGCAGAUACUUUAAUCAUCGAGCGUGAUCCAAUUCCAGAAUAUGGAGAACCAUGUUUCAUUUCGCCUGAGUCAGCAGAAGACAGAUCAUGGAAGCCAUGCGAAGCAUGCAAGACAGAGGUGGAAAAAUUAGUGGAGGAAAAGGCCAAACUGCAUGAUGUGCUGUGUGGUAUAAGUGGUGAGCACCUCGAGGCAUUCAGAAGUUUUCUGGACAAAGUGGAACAGAUCCAACCUCAGGCUGGUGUUUGGGCUCCAAAAGGCAGAUCUCAGCAGCAGGAGCUAUAUCCAGGAAGAGUGGCCUCUUCUUGUCCUCGACUCACCUGGCUGCAAUCCAUUCAACCACAAAGAAGGACUGCCUUCGCUUGUUCCAUCUUCUUUUUGAUGAAUUCUUUACUGCAGAGGAUUGCCAGAAUGCUGUGGCAUUUGGGAAACACAGAAAGGUGCCAGAUUGGAAGAGAGUCCUGGAUAAGUUCAAAGUCAAUGCAAUUCUAAGUAAGUAUGUUGCUCAUGUGGUUAACAAUUUGUGGAAAAAGUUGUGAAAAUUCAUAGGUAAAAAAUGUGUGGGAACCCAAUAAGAGGUGUUGGAUACCCAUAUAUCACAUAGCUAUGUUAAAUGUUAUGAUUGUUUCACUGUCUUUCUUUUCUUUUAUUCUUGCAGCUUACGUCAUGCGCUGUAGUACACUGGAUGGUUGGACACCGGUUGAGAAAAGUAAGGUCAAAAAAGCCUUCAUAAACAAAUGCCGCAUCAGGGCCACAACACUGUAAAUAUCGGAUGGGGCACACAGAGACAUUUGUUGAAAUGACAAUGUUCACAAAAAGUCCUUGUUUUCAAAUUAUGUAUGUUGGCGUCAGAGACUCAAGUUUAUUGUUGUGAAUUGUUGUAAACCUGGCCUGCCACUGCUCAUAACAUUGUUAAAUUUGUUACUGUUUUAAAAACAGAAUUUUACAAAAAAAAGCACUUUAGUUCAUAUUUUGUAAUGACCAUGUUUAAACAGUUUU
ensembl:lncRNA